rnacentral:rRNA from 1 species
CGUGCGUAGGCGGCUUUUUAAGUCGGAUGUGAAAUCCCCGAGCUUAACUUGGGAAUUGCAUUCGAUACUGGGAAGCUAGAGUAUGGGAGAGGAUGGGUAGAAUUCCAGGUGUAGCGGUGAAAUGCGUAGAGAUCUGGAGGAAUACCGAUCGGCGAAGGCAGCCAUCCUGGCCUAAUACUGACGCUGAGGUACGAAAGCAUGGGGAGCAAACAGGAUUAGAUACCCUACGU